GAACAUCCUGCAUAGUGCUGCCAGGAAAUCCCUACUUCAUACUAAGAGGGGGCUGGCUGGUUGCAUAUGUAGGAUGUCCC
rnacentral:pre_miRNA from 2 species